GCUGCCGCCGCCGCUGCCGCCGGGCGGCUCGGUGCAGCUCGCCCGCUCUCCGGGCAGCGCCGCGCAGGCGCGCUGCUCCCUCCCCGCCGCCGCUCCACAGUUCAAAAAGAAUGCCAAGAGCAGUUUGACAUCUACAGAAAACCUGUUCCUGCCUUGCAAGUAGCUUGAAGAACAUCAGGGAGAUGGUGGUGUGGAAGGGAAGUAACAGAGGGAUUAAGCAGAACCAUUCAAGAAGGAGCAGAUGGAAACAGCUGCCAGCAGAUGAGUACUGGAAAGGAUUCAAGCCACAGUACUUGCUGGAACUUGAGAGUUUGCGAUGGCCUGAGCUAACCCAGUGACAGGUAUCUAAGGUUUGAAACCAGA